GACAGAGGGUGCAAACGUUGUUCGGAAUUACUGGGCGUAAAGCGCGUGUAGGCGGCUUGGCAAGUCGGGUGUGAAAGCCCCGGGCUCAACCUGGGAAGUGCACUCGAAACUGCUUGGCUUGAGUACUGGAGAGGGAAGCGGAAUUCUCGGUGUAGAGGUGAAAUUCGUAGAUAUCGAGAGGAACACCGGUGGCGAAGGCGGCUUCCUGGACAGUUACUGACGCUGAGACGCGAAAGCGUGGGGAGCAAACAGGAUUAGAUACCCUGGUAGUCCACGCCGUAAACGAUGGGUGCUAGGUGUCGCGGGCAUUGACCCCUGCGGUGCCGUAGCUAACGCAUUAAGCACCCCGCCUGGGGAGUACGGCCGCAAGGCUAAA
rnacentral:rRNA from 1 species